ensembl:lncRNA
GGGACACGGGACGAACAACACAAGGCAUGCACUUCAUACACCCAGCUCUGUUCUCGAGCUGCGCGUCGCCCCCCGUGUGUGUGCGUGACUCUCCGCUCUUCGUGUGUAUGAACGUCGCUUUGGAUAAAGCCGUCUGCUAAACGCCCUAAGGGUAAUGUUAAGUCCAGAAGGAAUGUAGCCAGUACACUUGUGAUGAUGAGAAUUGAAACGUGAAUCAAACCUACCAGGUGAGCGUGCCGGUCCAAAGGUCCGUCCGACCAAACACAGCGCGUACCACGGGGACGGGACAGGGCGGCGACAUGGCCCGCACGAAGAACCGAGAGACCACCUGCUCCGGUGCUGGAAGCACACCCGGAGAAGCGGCGAGCCUGCCGGGGGACGGCGCUGCAGCGGCCGGGCGAGAGGCUCCUUCUGCCGGCUCCAGGACCGGGGCAUACAGUCCCUCCCCGGGCUCCGCGGCCGGGGAAGAGGCUCCGUCUGACGGCUCCGAGGCCGGACCUCGGAAACCCAACAAGAGUUCAAAGGAAGUUUAUUUUGCGGUCCUACCGGACAAAUACCAGCCUCUCCUGGAGGAGGAGGAGGAGAGAGAGCGAGGAGCAGAGGUGGAGGAGGAAGGAGGAGAAGAGGAGAAAGAAACGGGAGAAACAUAAGAGGUGCAGAAAGAGCUUGGGGCGGGCCCUGCGGUGGACCUGGCGCUCGCUGGUUGCCGGGUUACAGAGUCUGGCCGCCGUCUACUCCGCCCCCUUCACCGCCCCCACCACCCUGGCAGCCGCCUGCAGCAAGGCAUGAUGGGAAGACAGAGACAGACACACACACACACACACACACACACACACACACACACACACACACACACACACACACACACACACACACACACACACACACACACAACAACACACACACCCUACUAAACACACACACACUGCACAACAACACACAACACAGACACUACUACACAACACAUUGCCUACUAAACACACACACCCUACUACACAACAACACAUACACUACUAAACAGACACACUACUACACAACAACACACACACCCUACUAAACCUACACACUACUACACAACAACACACACACACACACACACUACCAAACAAACUACUCCACAACUACACACACACACACUACUAAACACACACACUACUACACAACAACACACACACAUUACUAAACACACACACUACUACACAACAACACCCACACUAUUACUCACACCAACACUACGGCUACUACACACGUACUACUGCUACCACACACACAUUUUAAUUCUUUAUUUGAAUCCACCAAUCACAUUACAACAGACAGGAUUCAAAUACGUUCGAGAUGAGAUACUGCUUUGUUCAAGGGUACAGAACACAUCUCCUGUGCCACACUGCAAGGCUGCCCGUCAACGCUGAUAGAGAAACAUUUUGCUAGUUGUUUCGAUUUUCUGCUGGAGCCCAGCGAGUCUUAACCCACUGAAAACAAGAGACAACACCACUCGCUUGCAUUGAUAGCCUAGGUCCCUUGGUAUUUCCAGAAUUGGCUUGGUACCUGAUUUUAUCGUUAGAGACCAUCUCUCACACACACACACACACACACACACACACACACACACACACACACACACACACACACACACACACACACACACACACACACACACACACACACCCCUGGAGGAAGGUUGUAUAAGGAAGGACGUUCAAUAUUAAAUUGAUCACUGAGGAUAUUUCUUGUCCUGCUCAAAUAAAAAACGUUGGUUCUCCACCUGCUGCA